UACGAAGGGUGCAAGCGUUACUCGGAAUUACUGGGCGUAAAGCGUGCGUAGGUGGUGAGUUAAGUCUGAUGUGAAAUCCCCGGGCUCAACCUGGGAAUGGCAUUCGGGACUGCAAGGCUGGAGUGCGGCAGAGGAGACUGGAAUUCCUGGUGUAGCAGUGAAAUGCGUAGAUAUCAGGAGGAAUACCGAUGGCGAAGGCAGGUCUCUGGGCUGACACUGACGCUCAUGCACGAAAGCGUGGGGAGCAAACAGG
rnacentral:rRNA from 1 species